UACGUAGGGUGCAAGCGUUAAUCGGAAUUACUGGGCGUAAAGCGUGCGCAGGCGGUUAUAUAAGACAGUUGUGAAAUCCCCGGGCUCAACCUGGGAACUGCAUCUGUGACUGUAUAGCUAGAAUACGGUAGAGGGGGAUGGAAUUCCGCGUGUAGCAGUGAAAUGCGUAGAUAUGCGGAGGAACACCGAUGGCGAAGGCAAUCCCCUGGACCUGUACUGACGCUCAUGCACGAAAGCGUGGGGAGCAAACAGG
rnacentral:rRNA from 1 species